ACUUUAUUUUUUUUACUUUUUUAUUUUCUUUUUUUAUUACUCAAAUGAAUUUAUCACAUCUGUAGUUGUAAUAAUGAUCAUAACAAUCCAAUUUCACAGGAUUUCCAUCCCAUAACCCAAGCACAUCCCCCCAACCCCAAACUGUCUCCUCCAGAGACCAUAAGUUUUUCAAUGUUUGUGAGUCAGCAUCUGUUCUGCAAAGAAGUUCAGUCUGUCCUUUUUUCUUGUCAAAGAUCCUCUUUCCAUAUAAGGUAACAUUUAUAGGUUCCAGGGAUUAGGACCUGAUAGCUUUGGGAGAUCUGCUUCAGCCUAUCCCACGCAUAUAGCCUACAAUACAGCAACAUACUCCUGGGUAGUUUCCUAAAGAAACUCUCACACAUGUACAUCAGAGGACAAAUACAAGAAUAUUCACUGCAACACUGUUUACAAAAACAAAAAAACUGGAAACAACACAAACAUCCACAAAACAGAUAUACUGUGAUGUAUUCAUAUAAUUGCAGAGCAAUGAAAAUGAAAGAAGUAGGGCUACGUACAUCAACAUGGGAGAAUCCUAUAACACGUGGAGAUAAAAAAAGUCAAAAAAUACCUAUGGGAGUUCCCGUCGUGGCGCAGUUCAAUCCCUGGUCUGGGAACGUCAACAUGCCAUGGGUGUGGCCAAAAAAAAGGGUCUCAUUUAACUGGUUUCUCUGCACCGUCUAAAGCAACAGGUAAAAGGAUUAAUAUAUAAUACAUAUAACCCAUAAUACAGGCAUCUUUCAAAUCUUCAACUAAUUAAAAUAUUUCAAAAAAUCAUAUAACUGCAAUUUUUUAAUUUCACUAAAACUGUUAAAACUAUAGACAAAAUCACCUCCAAAGAUAUGUCCAUUUUUUUAAUUGCACGGGAAAUGUGCUAUACCAAAUUUAACAGAAAAUAAAUUUCCAGGGAGUUCCUUUUGUGGCUCAUCAGUAACAAAUCUGACUAGUACUCAUGAGGACUUGGGUUUGAUCCUUGGCCUUGCUCAGUGGGUUAAGGAUCCAGCAUUGCUGUGAGCUGUGAUGUGUGUGUGUUGCAGAUGUGUCUCACAUCUGACAUUGCUGUGGCUAUGGUGUUGGCCAGCAGCUGUAGCUCCAAUUUGAUCCCUAGCCUGAGAACUUCCAUAUGUCGUGGGUGUGACCCUAAAAAAAAAAAAAAAAAAGAAAAGAAAAAAAAGAAAUUUCCACCAACCAGGCUUAAAAAUAUUUUUGUUACAUAAAUUAGUUGUAACACGUUCAAGUAGCAUGAUGUCCUAAAGCAUAUAGGUAGCUAGGGAUACUGACAUUCUCUCAAAACUAAACUUCAAAUUUUUUGAUAAUACUAUUUUGAUAUAUACUACUGCAUUCUAUUUUUAAAUAAAGAAAUCGGCAUACUUCAAAUUCAAUUCAAUGAACUUUAUUUCUAAUAUAGUUUCUGAUGUACAAAGUACUAAUAAGCACUGUGAGGAUUCAGAAACAUUUGGAGGCACAAAGACAGUGAAUAUUGUUUUGCAGAAAAACUGGAAUCAAUCUAAAAUGUCUAUCAACAGGAAAAGGGCUAAAUAAUCUGUGAGGAAGUUUAAAAGAAUGAGUCUGAGCAAUUCAUAUAAAUAAAUAAAUAAGCAAUUUGUAUAUAUGAAAUAUAAUUAAUAUAACAUAUGGGUUAUAUUAAUAUAACAUAUGGGUUAUAUGUGAAUUAUAUAAAGUAUAAUUGUAUAUAAUCCAUAUAUUCACAUAUAUGAUUCAUAUAUAAUUACAGAUAACCCAUAAUAUAGUUUAUAUUCAUACAUAUAAUUCAUACACACAUGAAUCAAACUCUAAGACACACUGAGUAGAAAAAAAAUUUUUUUUGUCUUUUUAGGGUCACACCCUCAGCAUAUGGAAAUUCCCAGGCUAGGGGUCAAAUUGAAGCUAUAGCCGCUGGGGCUACACCACAACCAUAGAAAUGCCAGAUCCAAGCCACGUCUUCGACCUACACCACAGUUCACAGCAACACCAGAUCCUUAACCCCGGUAAGUUGAGGCCAAGGAUCAAACCUGCUUCCUAGUGGAUGCUAGUCAGAUUCGUUUCCACUAAGCCACAACAGGAACUCCC
rnacentral:lncRNA from 1 species